UACAGAGGUCUCAAGCGUUGUUCGGAUUCAUUGGGCGUAAAGGGUGCGUAGGUGGCGCUGUAAGUCGGGUGUGAAAUUUCGGAGCUUAACUCCGAAACUGCAUUCGAUACUGCGGUGCUUGAGGACUGGAGAGGAGACUGGAAUUCAUGGUGUAGCGGUGAAAUGCGUAGAUAUCGUAAGGAAGACCAGUGGCGAAGGCGGGUCUCUGGACAGUUCCUGACGCUGAGGCACGAAGGCCAGGGGGAGCAAACGGG
rnacentral:rRNA from 1 species